rnacentral:rRNA from 1 species
GACGAACGCUGGCGGCGUGCUUAACACAUGCAAGUCGAACGGUGAAGGGACCAGCUUGCUGGUUCUGGAUGAGUGGCGAACGGGUGAGUAACACGUGGGUAACCUGCCCCCUUCUUCUGGAUAACCGCAUGAAAGUGUGGCUAAUACGGGAUAUUCUGGGUCUGUCGCAUGGCGGGCCCGGGAAAGAUAUUGCUUCGGUGGGGGAUGGGCUCGCGGCCUAUCAGCUUGUUGGUGGGGUGAUGGCCUACCAAGGCGGUGACGGGUAGCCGGCCUGAGAGGGGGGACGGUCACACUGGGACUGAGACACGGCCCAGACUCCUACGGGAGGCAGCAGUGGGGAAUAUUGCACAAUGGGCGCAAGCCUGAUGCAGCGACGCCGCGUGAGGGAUGGAGGCCUUCGGGUUGUAAACCUCUUUCGCCAGUGAAGCAGGCCUGCUCCUUGUGGGUGGGUUGACGGUAGCUGGAUAAGAAGCGCCGGCUAACUACGUG